UACGGGGGGGGCAAGCGUUGUUCGGAAUUACUGGGCGUAAAGGGCUCGUAGGCGGCCAACUAAGUCAGACGUGAAAUCCCUCGGCUUAACCGGGGAACUGCGUCUGAUACUGGAUGGCUUGAGAUUGGGAGAGGGAUGCGGAAUUCCAGGUGUAGCGGUGAAAUGCGUAGAUAUCUGGAGGAACACCGGUGGCGAAGGCGGCAUCCUGGACCAACACUGACGCUGAGGGGCGAAAGCCAGGGGAGCAAACGGG
rnacentral:rRNA from 1 species